AAAAUUUCAGAACACCCCCCCUUUCUCCCCAUAUUUCUUCUCUGCUAGGUUAGAAAACCCAUCAUUGCCGCCAUUUGACUGCAGCGCCACCAACGCAUUCGGUGGCCAGCGAUACACCAAAAUGGGCCUUUUUAGCCCUCCUUUUUACACGUGUUGGAGGCUUGCACCCAAAAUCCGAAUGACAAGGGCCCCGACCUCCCCCUUUUGAACUCGACCACGCCGAAUGGAGAGGAGAGCUCCGACGACGUGGCCACGGGGUGGAUCUGGUGACAGAGACGUGGAAGGUCGAUGGUUGGCUCGCGAGGAGGUGCGGCGCACCUUGGGUUUCCUUUGCUUGAAAGUUUUAAUUUUUCUAGGCUAGGGUUGGAAUUGAGCUUGUCGGACUUGUUGGGUUUGGGUAGUUUAUUUGGGCUGAUUUGGUUUGUAAAGUGAAUGAACUUUUAUUUGGUUAUUUGGGUUUUAUUUUUUGUUUAUUUGUCUGGGCCAAAAAUUGGCCAUUACAAUUUUUAAUAAGAAUUCACACUUUAUUUCAUGGAAAUUUGAAAGAUUUUUUACUAAUAAAUCUUCUUAAAUAAGAAA